CACGUAGGGCGCAAGCGUUGUCCGGAAUUAUUGGGCGUAAAGAGCUCGUAGGCGGUCUGUCGCGUCGGAUGUGAAAAUCCAGGGCUCAACCCUGGACCUGCAUUCGAUACGGGCAGACUAGAGUUCGGUAGGGGAGACUGGAAUUCCUGGUGUAGCGGUGAAAUGCGCAGAUAUCAGGAGGAACACCGGUGGCGAAGGCGGGUCUCUGGGCCGAAACUGACGCUGAGGAGCGAAAGCGUGGGGAGCAAACAGG
rnacentral:rRNA from 1 species